UACGAAGGGGGCUAGCGUUGUUCGGAAUUACUGGGCGUAAAGCGCGCGCAGGCGGUUCUUCAAGUCAGUGGUGAAAGCCCGGAGCUCAACUCCGGAACUGCCAUUGAAACUGUGGAACUUGAGGAUGAGAGAGGUGAGUGGAGUUCCCAGUGUAGAGGUGAAAUUCGUAGAUAUUGGGAAGAACACCGGUGGCGAAGGCGGCUCACUGGCUCAUUUCUGACGCUCAGGCGCGACAGCGUGGGGAUCAAACAGG
rnacentral:rRNA from 1 species